rnacentral:siRNA from 1 species
AUCAUCAUUGGUAACGAAGUUUGC